GACGAACGCUGGCGGCGUGCUUAACACAUGCAAGUCGAACGGUGAAGCGCCUUCCUUUUUGGUGGGUGUGGAUGAGUGGCGAACGGGUGAGUAACACGUGAGUAACCUGCCCCCUUCUUCUGGAUAACCGCAUGAAAGUGUGGCUAAUACGGGAUAUUCUGGGUCUGUCGCAUGAUGGGUCUGGGAAAGAUAUUGUUUCGGUGGGGGAUGGGCUCGCGGCCUAUCAGCUUGUUGGUGGGGUGAUGGCCUACCAAGGCGGUGACGGGUAGCCGGCCUGAGAGGGUGGACGGUCACACUGGGACUGAGACACGGCCCAGACUCCUACGGGAGGCAGCAGUGGGGAAUAUUGCACAAUGGGCGCAAGCCUAAUGCAGCGACGCCGCGUGAGGGAUGGAGGCCUUCGGGUUGUGAACCUCUUUCGCCAGUGAAGCAGGCCUGCCUCGUUUGUGGGUGGGUUGACGGUAGCUGGAUAAGAAGCGCCGGCUAACUACGUG
rnacentral:rRNA from 1 species